rnacentral:rRNA from 1 species
GACGAACGCUGGCGGCGUGCCUAAUACAUGCAAGUAGGACGCACAGUUUAUACCGUAGCUUGCUACACCAUAGACUGUGAGUUGCGAACGGGUGAGUAACGCGUAGGUAACCUACCUAUUAGAGGGGGAUAACUAUUGGAAACGAUAGCUAAUACCGCAUAACAGUAUGUAACACAUGUUAGAUGCUUGAAAGAUGCAAUUGCAUCGCUAGUAGAUGGACCUGCGUUGUAUUAGCUAGUAGGUAGGGUAAAGGCCUACCUAGGCAACGAUACAUAGCCGACCUGAGAGGGUGAUCGGCCACAAUGGGACUGAGACACGGCCCAGACUCCUACGGGAGGCAGCAGUAGGGAAUCUUCGGCAAUGGGGGGAACCCUGACCGAGCAACGCCGCGUGAGUGAAGAAGGUUUUCGGAUCGUAAAGCUCUGUUGUUAAGGAAGAACGAGUGUGAGAAUGGAAAGUUCAUGCUGUGACGG